ensembl:snRNA U5 U5 spliceosomal RNA
AUACUCGUGUUUCUCUUCAUCAUCUAAUGUAUCUUUUGCCUUUUACUAAAGAUUCAUCUGGGGAGGGAAAAGCAUGACUGCUGCUACAAUUUUUUGAGGCCUUCUGGGGAU